UGGGAUCUUAUUCCCUGACCAGAGAUCGAACCCGAGCCCCCUGCAGUGGAAGCGUGGAGCCUUAGCCACUGGACCGCCAGGGAAGUCAGGCUUAGUCCAUUUUAAUGUUCAAUGCUUGGCUGGCACUUGGGAGAAGCAUGCUGAAGAGGAGGGCACAAUUGACCCAGUGUGUCCUUUGGUCCCUGUGUGAUGACUCAGUAGGAACCCAGGAACUGAGUUGUGUGUCUCUGGUUUCACUGGCAUCCCACUGCACUCAGAUGACCUCUCUGUUUUUACUUCUGUGUUUUUGAAAUUGAUAAAACUCACAUCCUGUUCUGUACCCAUAAUUAAGAAACGUGUACAUUGCCCAAUCGUUGAAUCUAAUUAGUUGUUUAAAAAAUCAAUAUGAAUAUUA